rnacentral:rRNA from 1 species
UAGGGAAUCUUCCACAAUGGACGCAAGUCUGAUGGAGCAACGCCGCGUGAGUGAAGAAGGUUUUCGGACCGUAAAGCUCUGUUGUUGGUGAAGAAGGAUAGAGGUAGUAACUGGCCUUUAUUUGACGGUAAUCAACCAGAAAGUCACGGCUAACUACGUGCCAGCAGCCGCGGUAAUACGUAGGUGGCAAGCGUUGUCCGGAUUUAUUGGGCGUAAAGCGAGCGCAGGCGGAAGAAUAAGUCUGA